UUAAGCGACUAAGCGUACACGGUGGAUGCCCUGGCAGUCAGAGGCGAUGAAGGACGUGCUAAUCUGCGAUAAGCGUCGGUAAGGUGAUAUGAACCGUUAUAACCGGCGAUUUCCGAAUGGGGAAACCCAGUGUGUUUCGACACACUAUCAUUACGUGAAUACAUAGCGUAAUGAAGCGAACCGGGGGAACUGAAACAUCUAAGUACCCCGAGGAAAAGAAAUCAACCGAGAUUCCCCCAGUAGCGGCGAGCGAACGGGGAGCAGCCCAGAGUCUGAAUCAGCUUGUGUGUUAGUGGAACGGUCUGGAAAGUCCGACGGUACAGGGUGAUAGUCCCGUACACCAAAAUGCACAGGUUGUGAACUCGAAGAGUAGGGCGGGACACGUGGUAUCCUGUCUGAAUAUGGGGGGACCAUCCUCCAAGGCUAAAUACUCCUGACUGACCGAUAGUGAACCAGUACCGUGAGGGAAAGGCGAAAAGAACCCCGGCGAGGGGAGUGAAAAAGAACCUGAAACCGUGUACGUACAAGCAGUGGGAGCCUACUUGUUAGGUGACUGCGUACCUUUUGUAUAAUGGGUCAGCGACUUAUAUUCUGUAGCAAGGUUAACCGUAUAGGGGAGCCGAAGGGAAACCGAGUCUUAACUGGGCGUUAAGUUGCAGGGUAUAGACCCGAAACCCGGUGAUCUAGCCAUGGGCAGGUUGAAGGUUGGGUAACACUAACUGGAGGACCGAACCGACUAAUGUUGAAAAAUUAGCGGAUGACUUGUGGCUGGGGGUGAAAGGCCAAUCAAACCGGGAGAUAGCUGGUUCUCCCCGAAAGCUAUUUAGGUAGCGCCUCGUGAAUUCAUCUUCGGGGUAGAGCACUGUUUCGGCUAGGGGGUCAUCCCGACUUACCAACCCGAUGCAAACUGCGAAUACCGAAGAAUGUUAUCACGGGAGACACACGGCGGGUGCUAACGUCCGUCGUGAAGAGGGAAACAACCCAGACCGCCAGCUAAGGUCCCAAAGUCAUGGUUAAGUGGGAAACGAUGUGGGAAGGCACAGACAGCCAGGAUGUUGGCUUAGAAGCAGCCAUCAUUUAAAGAAAGCGUAAUAGCUCACUGGUCGAGUCGGCCUGCGCGGAAGAUGUAACGGGGCUAAACCAUGCACCGAAGCUGCGGCAGCGACACUAUGUGUUGUUGGGUAGGGGAGCGUUCUGUAAGCCGUUGAAGGUGGCCUGUGAGGGUUGCUGGAGGUAUCAGAAGUGCGAAUGCUGACAUAAGUAACGAUAAUGCGGGUGAAAAACCCGCACGCCGGAAGACCAAGGGUUCCUGUCCAACGUUAAUCGGGGCAGGGUGAGUCGACCCCUAAGGCGAGGCCGAAAGGCGUAGUCGAUGGGAAACAGGUUAAUAUUCCUGUACUUGGUGUUACUGCGAAGGGGGGACGGAGAAGGCUAUGUUAGCCGGGCGACGGUUGUCCCGGUUUAAGCAUGUAGGCGGAGGUUCCAGGUAAAUCCGGUACCUUUUUAACGCUGAGGUGUGAUGACGAGGCACUACGGUGCUGAAGUAACAAAUGCCCUGCUUCCAGGAAAAGCCUCUAAGCAUCAGGUAACACGAAAUCGUACCCCAAACCGACACAGGUGGUCAGGUAGAGAAUACCAAGGCGCUUGAGAGAACUCGGGUGAAGGAACUAGGCAAAAUGGUGCCGUAACUUCGGGAGAAGGCACGCUGAUAUGUAGGUGAAGCGGUUUACCCGUGGAGCUGAAAUCAGUCGAAGAUACCAGCUGGCUGCAACUGUUUAUUAAAAACACAGCACUGUGCAAACACGAAAGUGGACGUAUACGGUGUGACGCCUGCCCGGUGCCGGAAGGUUAAUUGAUGGGGUUAUCCGUAAGGAGAAGCUCUUGAUCGAAGCCCCGGUAAACGGCGGCCGUAACUAUAACGGUCCUAAGGUAGCGAAAUUCCUUGUCGGGUAAGUUCCGACCUGCACGAAUGGCGUAAUGAUGGCCAGGCUGUCUCCACCCGAGACUCAGUGAAAUUGAACUCGCUGUGAAGAUGCAGUGUACCCGCGGCAAGACGGAAAGACCCCGUGAACCUUUACUAUAGCUUGACACUGAACACUGGUCCUUGAUGUGUAGGAUAGGUGGGAGGCUUUGAAGUGUGGACGCCAGUCUGCAUGGAGCCAUCCUUGAAAUACCACCCUUUAAUGGCUGGUGUUCUAACGUGGACCCGUUACCCGGGUUGCGGACAGUGUCUGGUGGGUAGUUUGACUGGGGCGGUCUCCUCCUAAAGAGUAACGGAGGAGCACGAAGGUUAGCUAAUCCUGGUCGGACAUCAGGAGGUUAGUGCAAAGGCAUAAGCUAGCUUGACUGCGAGAGUGACGGCUCGAGCAGGUGCGAAAGCAGGUCUUAGUGAUCCGGUGGUUCUGAAUGGAAGGGCCAUCGCUCAACGGAUAAAAGGUACUCCGGGGAUAACAGGCUGAUACCGCCCAAGAGUUCAUAUCGACGGCGGUGUUUGGCACCUCGAUGUCGGCUCAUCACAUCCUGGGGCUGAAGUAGGUCCCAAGGGUAUGGCUGUUCGCCAUUUAAAGUGGUACGCGAGCUGGGUUUAGAACGUCGUGAGACAGUUCGGUCCCUAUCUGCCGUGGGCGCUGGAGAAUUGAGGGGGGCUGCUCCUAGUACGAGAGGACCGGAGUGGACGCAUCACUGGUGUUCGGGUUGUCAUGCCAAUGGCAUUGCCCGGUAGCUAAAUGCGGAAGAGAUAAGUGCUGAAAGCAUCUAAGCACGAAACUUGCCCCGAGAUGAGUUCUCCCUGAGACUAUAAGUCUCCUGAAGGAACGUUGAAGACGACGACGUUGAUAGGUCGGGUGUGUAAGUGUAGCGAUACAUUGAGCUAACCGAUACUAAUGAACCGUGAGGCUUAACCUU
rnacentral:rRNA from 1 species